UGGCCAGACUCCUACGGGAGGCAGCAGUGGGGGAUAUUGCACAAUGGGGGAAACCCUGAUGCAGCGACGCCGCGUGGGCGAAGAAGUAUUUCGGUAUGUAAAGCCCUAUCAGCAGGGAAGAAGAAAUGACGGUACCUGAGUAAGAAGCACCGGCUAAAUACGUGCCAGCAGCCGCGGUAAUACGUAUGGUGCAAGCGUUAUCCGGAUUUACUGGAUGUAAAGGGAGCGCGGGCGGCACGGCAAGCCUGAUGUGAAAGCCCGCGGCCCAACCGCGGGACUGCAUUGGGAACUACCGGGCUGGAGUGCCGGAGAGGUAGGCGGAAUUCCUAGUGUAGCGGUGAAAUGCGUAGAUAUUAGGAGGAACACCAGUGGCGAAGGCGGCCUGCUGGGCUUUUACUGACGCUGAGGCUCGAAAGUGUGGGGAGCAAACAGGAUUAGAUACCCGAGUA
rnacentral:rRNA from 1 species